rnacentral:lncRNA from 1 species
UACAUCUCGUUAACAGAGUAGCAGGCAGGUAGAGGUGCAGAUUUACAGAUGGAUGCUUCUUCUUGCCUACAUCAGCACUAGCAGGGGAGAUCCGGACGGUGGAGCAUCAACUUGCAUAGGAUCAACAACAGGAGGAGUAGGACCUUGUAGAGGAUCAACAACAGCAGGAGCAGAACAUUGUUCGAUGCCACGGGACCUUCUUCGAAGAAGCAGCGGGAGCAGGACCUUGCAGACGAUCAACCAAACCGAGGAGGGGUCGGGCUCCUCGAUGACGCUGGUGGCGCUGGCGUUGGAGACGACGCUGCUCCCCCAGCUCGCCGGUGUAGUCCCUGCUUCUGGGGUUGGGGAUGGGCGGGCUGGCGUCGCCUUUGCCAUCCUCCUUCCUUGAGCCCUCUAAUUCCUCCCUCCUCCGGGGCGCGGUCGCGCUGCUCCUGCCCUUGUACACGGCCAAGCACGUAACCCACGUCCACG